rnacentral:rRNA from 1 species
GCUAAGCCCUAAACAUUGAUAGCUAACAUACAUACAAACUUUCCGCCAGAGAACUACAAGUGAAAAACUUGAAACUCAAAGGACUUGACGGUGUUCCAUAUCGACCUAGAGGAGCCUGUCCUAUAAUCGAUACUCCCCGCUCCACCCAACCCUAACUGGCAUCUCAUCAGCCUAUAUACCGCCGUCGAUCAGCCUACCCUAUGAAGGCUCAACAGUAGACACAAUAGUCUUAUCACUAAUACGUCAGGUCAAGGUGUAGCAAAUGUUAAGGAAGAGAUUGGCUACAUUUUUUAUUUUAAAAAAUACGAAAAAUACUAUGAAACAAUAUAUGAAGGUGAAUUUAGUAGUAAAAUAAACAAGAGUGUUUAUUUUAACAACGCUCUGGAACGCGUACACACCGCCCGUCACCCUCCUCGAUCAAUAUACAUAACUUUUAUAAAUAUAAAUUUUUAACUCAGAGGAGGU